UCCGCAAUACACACUACAACAGCUCUGGUUAAUUUAAUUUAAAUCAUUCAAAAUCAAAAUUAUUGUAAGAGUGGGAUGGCCAUUGCAGUUCCCGAGUAUGUUUAAUACAGAUCAGCCAAGAGGAAAAUGACGGUUCUCAACCCCUGCCCCUUGCAUUGUGAAAAGGACGGACUUUCAUAUGUAUGUCCUUUCGGAACCCAGUCAGUUCACACCAAACGGCUCAGAAGAGCUAGAACUUGACCAUACUGGCCUUGGGAAGAGGAUGCCAGACCACUUGAAACACGAUGAGAUUGUGGCUCUACUUGAGGAGGAAUUUUCUAAACUGAAGACCUUACAAGGAGGUUGGAUGUUUUUCAAGUCUACAGGUGGUAGCGGACAUUGCGAGCUGUCCAUAAUUCCAACUGACGCUGAGGGUUACUCCACAAGGCUUCUUAAAUCAGCAUCUAACAAUGGGAAAAACAUAGUAUUUGUAGUUCCACUACAGCAGAAGCUUUCUACUGAACCACUUUCCUAUGAUUCAGUAGAGUUCGCCAAGAUGCCACAGUCAAAAUGCAUUACAUGUGGCAGUCAAAUGCCUUUGCAGCUGUUGCCAUUGCAUGUAGAGGGAUGCAAUGGCACAGUGACUGUAAGCUGUAUUACAACAUGUCUCUCAUUUCACUUUUUUAAUUUGUUCAAAUGACUGUUUCAAAGUAUUAAGUAUUUGUUUAUUAUAUAUUUUUUUUUAUUAAUUUUAUUUCUUUAGGAGAGUGAAUCUGGGACAUGUCUUGAUGAAGAAUGUUCAGUUCUUGAGCAGCCAGUCUCAUCUACCGUAGGCAUGGAUGAAUCCUUGGUAUGCCCAAUCUGUCUUGCAUUGUAACCAGCUGAUGUUCUCCCAUCUCAUGCAAGCACAUGUGGUGACAGGUAGGACGUUUGUCUGAUAGAUUCAGGUAAUUGAUAGUCAGACAUUAUCAGAAUAUAAUGACAUGUUCUGAGUGAGAGGAAGGACACGUGUAAAUGUAAAUGUGUAAAAUGUCAUUUCAUUAGA